rnacentral:lncRNA from 1 species
AAUUAUUGUUCUCUAAUUUGGAGAAUUCCAAGAAAAUGUAACCCACCAGUUCUGACAUGCGACCUCUCAGGCCCAUGAUUAUACUGAGCGUGUCACCAGUCACACCUCAAUCCAAUCCUGAUAUGCGAUCUCCUCGGUCCAUGAAUACACUAAGCGUGCCACCCACUAGCUUAAAUACCCCCUGCAGUAUUUUAUUACCCACAAAGGGGAGCCUCCUACGACUUGAAUCUGUGACCUCAAGGACAAAUAUUUACUUUACAAAUGAGUCGCUACCAUUAUCCAAUUUCAUUGCGGAUAAUCUUUGGCAUGAGACACUAGUUCAUAAG